GAGGUCCUUGCUUCAGCCCUGAGUAGAGAGUUGACAACCCUACAGCGGUGUUUGGUGUUGAGGGAACCCCACCGGUCAUUCUGUUUUGGGCAGGGAACCCCUUCGACUGUGAGCCAUCAGCGAUCAUCUUGGAUUUGGGACUGUGAUUUGAGACGGGCGUCUC